rnacentral:rRNA from 1 species
UGAGGAAUAUUGCUCAAUGGGCGAAAGCCUGAAGCAGCAACGCCGCGUGCGCGAUGAAGGUCUUCGGAUCGUAAAGCGCUUUUGAGAGGGACGAGAUAGGACGGAACCUCUUGAAUAAGUCACGGCUAACUACGUGCCAGCAGCCGCGGUAAAACGUAGGUGGCAAGCGUUAUCCGGAUUCACUGGGCGUAAAGCGCGUGCAGGUGGCUUCGUAAGUUGGACGUUAAAUCUUUCGGCCUACCGGGAGGUGUCGUUCAAUACUGCGGGGCUUGAGGGUAGAAGAGGGGGGUGGAAUUGCCGGUGUAGUGGUGAAAUGCGUAGAUAUCGGCAGGAACACCUGUGGCGAAAGCGGCCCCCUGGUCUGCUCCUGACACUCAGACGCGAAAGCUAGGGGAGUGAACG